UACGUAGGGAGCAAGCGUUGUUCGGAUUUACUGGGCGUAAAGGGCGCGUAGGCGGCAGAUCAAGUCAUCUGUGAAAUCUCCGAGCUUAACUCGGAACUGUCAGCUGAUACUGAUGUGCUAGAGUGCGGAAGGGGCAAUCGGAAUUCUUGGUGUAGCGGUGAAAUGCGUAGAUAUCAAGAGGAACACCUGAGGUGAAGACGGGUUGCUGGGCCGACACUGACGCUGAGUGCGCGAAAGCCAGGGGAGCAAACGGG
rnacentral:rRNA from 1 species